rnacentral:lncRNA from 1 species
CACACAAACACAGACAUACAGUCACAUUCUUUUAUUCUUUUACUUGCUUCAGUCAUUUGACAGCGGCCACGUUGGAGUACUGUCUUAAAGAGUUUUAGUUCAAGAAAUCGUCUCCAUAGCUUAUUUUCUUUGUAAACUAGUACUUAUUCUAUCGGUCUCUUUUGCUGAUCCGCUAAGUUCCGGAGACGUAAACACACCAGCGUCAUCUGUCAAGCGAUGGCGGGUGUUCAGAUACAGAUACACAUAUAUAAAUAUAUACAUAUAUCUAAUAUAUAAAAUUGCUUGCUUUUUAUUUUUUAUUUUGCCUGUUUGUUACCAAUGCACACAGAAACCAGUUAACCAAUCAUGUCUAAACUUGGCAUGAAAGGUUCUUCGAUUCAGAUAUAGGUUUUCCUUAAAUUUGGACCUAUAUGCUUUUAAAGGAGAGGAGAUAGUCCUCAUUCAACAUAAUUUUGGUUAUUUACGAAAAAUAAAUUGAAGUUAAUUCAGUAUGUGUGUGAGACGUGCUGUUGUUAGUGUGUUGGCAGGUGUAUUCAUCCCUUUCUCCCUCGAUAAUUGACUUAAUGUGAAGGUACUGGUGAUACCAGCCAAAAGGACCUCAGAUAUUCUCCACACUCCACUCUCUCUCUCUCUCUCUCUCUCUCUCUCUCUCUUGAUAUAUGUAUGUGUGUGUGUAUGUAUAUAUAUAUAUGUAUAUAUAUUAUCAAUAAUAAGAAUAAUAACAAAGGGUAAAAUUAAUUAAUUAACUAGUAAUCAAUAAUUUCACCAAGAAGAAUUCGGCAUGAAAAGGGACCAUUUCUCGGUAAUUAUAAUUAGGGUUCAGCAAAGAUUUGCUUUACCACAUACCGAGACGAAAUAGGUAAGGUUCUCUGGCUGCUAUUCUAAACUUCGGUAUGUGGUAAAGCAAAUCUUUGGUGGACCCUAAUUAUGAUAUAUAUAUAUAUAUAUAUAUAUAUAUAUAUAUAUAUAUAAUAUUGUUACGAACGAAUAAUCUAAAUAUAAUUUCAAAUGGUACUACACGAGAUAAAAAUACUGUCCUCUUGUUCUGCAAGAUCAAUAAGUAAAUAAAUUAUUCUAAUGUAAAAUAAUUCAUUUUUGUCACGUGACUUUAAAGCAUGCUGCACUUUUUAUUUUUUUUUUUUCUGUGGAGGUUUAUAACUAGUAGUGAGUGAACAUAUAGCAGUCAGUUGGUGUCGGCCAGUUGAUACGGCAGUUGGUGACGAGCCGUUGAUGCGACAGUUCAUUUUUUCCACUCUAAGCAAGCCGGUUUGCUUGGGCUGGCCCUUAGAUUUCCGAGCUGCUGACUUGACUGUUUGAGCCGUGUCAGUGCCUUUCAUCCUUUCGGGGUCGAUAAAUUAAGUACCAGUUACGUACUGGGGUCGAUGUAAUCGACCUAAUACCUAUGUCUGUCCUUGUUUGUCCCCUCUGUCUUUAGCCCCUUGUGGGUAAUAAAGAAAUAGUAGUAUCAUAAACGUUAACUGUUUUUUUUGAUAACAUAACGCUAAUGUCCGACCUAUAUUUUCACACCGAGUUAAAGAUAAUCAUGAGAUUUCAUUCAAAAAAUUUUUAUACGAAUUGUUUCCUAAUAAUUAUUGUGCUUUUAACAUUACUGGCAUAACACCCUCAAUUACAGAAAUUUAUAUACACUCUUGGCUAUAGAAAAAUUAUAUACACCGUCGACUACACAAACUUACAUGCACACUCGAUUAUAUCAGCUCAUAUACUCUCAUGACGAUAAAAAUUUAUAUACACGAUCAACUAUACAGACUUGUAUAAACACUACACAUAUACAUCAUUGAUAUUAAUUUUUUACGUACACACACACACACACACACACACACACACACACACACACACACACACAUAUAUAUAUAUAUAUAUAUAUAUAUAUUAGAUAUAUGAACCUGUAUAAAGACUCAAUAAUACAAACUUACAUGCAUUAUGAAUUAUACAAAUAUUUACGCAUCUUCAACUAUUCAAACUUUUGUACACGUUCAGCUAUCCACAUGUAUUGACACCCUCAAUUCUACAAAGUUGCAUAAACUCUCUGUUUAUUAAUAAUACAAAUAAGAACUCUGCUUCUCCAACACGUGGCUCCGAAUUCAGUCCCACUGCGUGGCACCUUGGGCAAGUGUGUUUUACUAUAACCUUGGGUCCACCAAAGCCUUGCGAGUGGAUUUGGUAGACGGAAACUGAAAGAAGCCUAUCGUAUAUAUACAUAUGUAUAUAUUUAUGAGUGUGAUUCUGUGUUCGUGUUUGUCCCUUUAUCACUGCUUAACAACUGAUAUUGGUGUAUUUAAGUUUCAGUAACUCAGCGGUUCCACAAAAGAUGGGGAUGGAAUAAGUACUAAGCUUAAAAAUAGUAACCCCUGGAGACAAAAUGUCCGACUAAAAUCUUUCAAGGCUAUGCUCCAGCAUGGCUGAAACAAGUAAAAGAAUAAAUAUAUAUAUAUAUAUAUAUAUAUAUAUAUAUAUAUAUAUAUAUAUAUAUAUAUAUAUA